AGAGCGGUAGCAGGGGACUGGCAAACUGCCAGGCCAAAGGUUUUCCCAAGGUAAAAUGGGAUGUGAGAGCGAUCCCAGCCCGGCUCAGGCAGACACCAAGUUGGGAAGCAGGGGCCAAAGGGGCGGAGGGCGCAAAGGACACGGUUGUGCGGAGGACCCCGCCGCAGUCGCCGGGCUGAGUGCUAAGCGGCCGCGCUACCCCAGAGCCGUCACUGGAGAUGUGGGUACAACGAUGACUACUGGGCGCGAGUCAGCUGAGGGGGUGUCUCCGAAGGGACACUUUGAGGAUACAGUUGGGGUGGAUCUGGGGUGACGCCCAAAAGGAUGGUUGGUCCUGGGUGUUUGAGGGUUCGGUGGAUGGCAGAGCUGAAGGGUCAGGACAGGACUGAAGACGAGGUCGGUCCAGAGGGUCGAGGAAGACCGGAGGACCAUUGAUAUUUUAUCUUCCCGAUUCUCCAAAGACAGAUAGGCUUCACUGUGCUUCCUGCUCCAGUCCUGGAAGAAUGCAUUGUCCAGUUCUCGAUGCUGCACUGUGCGCGGCACGUGGGAUCUUAGCUCCCCGGCCAGGGAUCAAACACGUGCCUUCUGCAGUGAAGGUGAAGUCUUAACCACUGGACUGCCAGGGAAGUCCCCAUAAUAACUUAAUAGUGAGCUUCAAAAUAAUUCACUUUGGCAUUAUAAGAGCAAAGAGAAACAGAAUUUAUCAUCUUGAUAUUUUGUUCUUAGUUCUCUGUGUAACUCCUGAGUACUUCAUGUUAGCUGUCAGGUAAAAUUAAUAUAAGGCAGUAUCUGCAGAGAAUGCUACUCUUAAACCUCUGUACUGUUGGCAGGUGAAGCUAUAAAAAGGAAGGCUGAGAGAAGAUCUCAAGAGACUUCUUAAGAAGGAAAUAUCUCCAUACUGUUUUCCAUAGUGGUUUUACCAGUUUAUAUUCCCACCAACAGUGUAUGAGGGUUCCCUUUUCUCCACAUCCUCUCCAACCUUUGUUAUUUGUCUUUUUGAUAAUUAAAAAUAGAAUCACCAUAUGAUCCAGAUCCAGCUAUUCCACUUCUGGGUAUUUAUCCAAAGAAUAUGAAAUCACUAAUUCAAAAAGAUACAUGCACCCCUGUGUUCACUGCAGCAUUAUUUACAACAGCCAAGAUAUGGAAGCAACCUAAAUGUCCAUUGACGAAUGGAAUACUACACAGCCACAAAAAGUAGAAAUCUUGCCAUUUGUGAUGAGAUGGAUGGACCUUGAGGGUAUUACGCUACGUGAAAUAAAUCAAAUAAAGAAAGACAAAACACCAAACGAUUUCACUUAUAUGUGGAAUCUAAAAAACAAACAAAUGAACAAACAAAACACAAACUCAUAGAUACAGAGAACAGAUUGGUGGUUACUAGAGGAGAAAGGGGUUGGGGGUUGGGUGAAAUAGGUGAAGGGGGUCAAUUGUAUGGUGAUGGGUGAUAACUAGACAAAGUGGUGAUCACUUUGAAGUGAAUACAAAAAUCAAAUUAUAAUGGUGUACCCCUGAAACUUAUAUAAUGUCAUCUACCAAUUUUACCUCAAUAAAUAAAUAAAUAAAUAAAUAUUCAGCAAUUUAAAAUAUACAUCAGCCAUUUUAUAAAUUUAUUUAUUUUAUUUUUGGCUGUGUUGGGUCUUUGUUUCUGUGCGAGGGUUUUCUCUAAUUGCAGCGAGCAGGGGCCACUCUUCAUCGUGGUGCGCAGGCCUCUCACUAUUGCGGCCUCUUGUUGCGGAGCACAGGCUCCAGACACGCAGGCUCAGUAGUUAUGGUUCACGGGCCCAGUUGCUCCGCGGCAUGUGGGAUCUUCCCAGACCAGGGCUUGAACCCGUGUCCCCUGCAUUGGCAGGCAGAUUCUCAACCACUGCGCCACCAGGGAAGCCCCAACAUCAGCCAUUUAAAAAAAAAAAGAAGGAAGAGAUAUGGCAGAAACUGAUUUUGCAUGAUACUGAUAAGAGGACUUGGCAAGCUUAACAAUACACUGACAGAUUCCUAAUCCAUUCAACGAAUACUUUAGCAGCCUGUGUUAACAUUAUUUUUUACUUAUCCCUUACUAGUAUGUUUUUUUUUUCUCUUGUGGUGGGAAAACUGGGGCCCUGGGGCCAAAUUAUGACUGCUGCUUGUUUUUGUGUGACGUGUUUGCUGGAUUCCUGUCUUAGAGGGCUUGGAGCUGUGCUUCUGCAUGAGUGGGUUUCUGGAACUUGACUAUUAUAGGUAUAUCCUCAGUGGUUAAUAGAUUGUAGUGUUUUAGGCUCUACUAUGGGUAUCUGUUAAGGUUGGAAGCAGGUCAAAAGAUCUGAAAUAGUUUUAUGACCCCUCUUUGAAGCCAGUCUGUGGAAUAUAUGCUCAUUGAGAAGAUACCCUAAUUCAUGAGUUCUGGAAGGUUGAAAGACAAGUUUUCAGAGUAGCCCAUAAAACACACACACACACACACACACACACACACACACACACAC